CUGGACCAUCAGGGAAGUCCCGGGUUUACUUUCUUAACAGCUUUCACAUAUAACGUACAACAGUGUGAAUUAUAUUUAUCAUGUUGUAUAUUAUAUUCCCUGGUACUUAUUUAUCUUAUAACUGGGAGUUUGUACCUCUGACCACCUUCGUCCAAUUCCCCCUCACCCACACCCUUCAGUUCCCUUUUCUGAGAAGCCUUCUCCCCCUGAAUCUACCCUCUUCCCCUCCCCCGACCUCCACAUAUUUGCCUAGCUAUUACUUCCUCAUGCUUCCACACUCAGGUCUGAUGUCCUUUCCCCUAGGAGCCAUCCAACAGAGCACUGGCCACUGUUUACUGAAAUGCUGGGGAGCUCAGUCUCCACAAUGGUUUCGCCAUCACCUGCGAGCUUCCCCAGGGCAAGGACCAGAUUCCCUGCACUUUUGUAUCCUCGGUGCCUGUUACAGGGCUUGGCUCACGGUGCAAUCUCAGUACAAGUUAAAUAUAACUUUUCUUGUACAGGUGGCCAAAUAAGACAGUGUGAUGGACACUUAGGGCACAUCUGUUGAGUCAUCAGCACUCCAAGGACGUCGGUACUGCCCUCAGAAACCAGAACUUAGUCCAGGUGGCUACUGAGACCCAGGGAAGGAGAAUGACUUGCUUUAAGCCACAUGAUCGGCUGGUGGCCGACCUCGGAUCAGAACUCCUGCCUCUGAGUCCCGGCACCGCGCUGUCUCUGAAGCAUCUCAUGAGAUUGUUGUUUACCAGCCCCCAGCAUUCAACCUGCUCUUUUUUGAGAAACAUCGCUUUGAGGUGGAGAAGGUAGGGCUCAGAGGGGUGAAGUGACCUGCCGCAGGUCACACAGGUCCACCUGGUCUGUCUGAGCCCUCAGCCCCACUGGCAGUCUGGGAAGAGAAGAGAGGGGACCCUGGACCCACUGCCGCUGCCUGGCUUCUGGCUUUUAGACCUUGGAUCUGCCAGCAACAGCCCCGUGACCCUGGGUAUGUCAUCUUUCUCUGCCUCAGUUUUCUCCUCUGUAAAUGAGGAUAAGAAUGGUCCCCACCUGGAGGCUUGUGGUGAGGGAAAUGCAUAAAGCACUUUAG